GACGAACGCUGGCGGCGUGCUUAACACAUGCAAGUCGAACGGGAUUUAGUAAACGGAAGCCUCGGUGGAAGAUUACUAAUGAGAGUGGCGAACGGGUGAGUAACGCGUGAGCAACCUGCCUAUGACAGUGGGAUAGCCUCGGGAAACCGGGAUUAAUACCGCAUAAAAUCGUAGAAACACAUGUUUCAACGGUCAAAGAUUUAUCGGUCAUAGAUGGGCUCGCGUCUGAUUAGCUAGUUGGUGAGAUAACAGCCCACCAAGGCGACGAUCAGUAGCCGGUCUGAGAGGAUGAGCGGCCACAUUGGAACUGAGACACGUUCCAAACUCCUACGGGAGGCAGCAGUGGGGAAUAUUGCACAAUGGGGGAAACCCUGAUGCAGCGACGCCGCGUGAACGAAGAAGGUAUUCGUAUCGUAAAGUUCUGUCCUAUGGGAAGAUAAUGACAGUACCAUAGAAGAAAGCUCCGGCUAAAUACGUG
rnacentral:rRNA from 1 species